rnacentral:misc_RNA from 1 species
GUCGUAGCAGUGCGAUUAUUUCUGCUGGGAAAGGAAACGGAGCGCAGAGAAGAAGAAUAGAGGAGUGCAAAGGAAGACCUUGAAUCUAUCUUCGGCUUCGACAGAAAAUUUUGAUUAUAUUUUUGGGGGAAAAAAACUAAAUACGAGAGGUUCGAAUUUGGAGCUGAAAUUUAAGACUUACAAUUUCGACUCUCGAACUUUUAGGUUUUCUUGGGUGCGCAAUUCUUGAGUUUGAAUAUCGGAAUUGAAAAUCUGGAAAAUGUUUGCAUUAUAUUGUAGAAAACAAGGAGUGUAUUCUAUCCUUGGUUUCUGGGGCGCAUUUCCGGAUUUUUGCAGUGGGCUGUAGGGUUAGCUUGAAAGUUACUUGCUCAGAGAUUGGUGGGUAGAACAUAGAAUUGCAGCUCUCUAAUGGUUUUAUAAGAGGAAUUUCUUGUUUGGUGAUAUUGCAGCUCAAUCAUGUUUUAUCACGUGUAUAUGAAAUUGAAAUAUUGAUGGCAUAAUUGAAGAUUAUUUUAGUAAAAUAUACUAUUUUUUUUUGUUAUAUGUUGAUUAAUUGGUUAGUUCUAAGCAAAAUGAAAAGAAAAGAAAUGUAUGUAUGCUGAACCUCUCUAUACUUUUGAGUUGGAAAUUGUGUUCUUUUGGAAGGAAAGAAUCAUGUUUGUUUGUCUAGUUCCGUUUGUUACCAUUAGGCAUAUGUUCAGCUUGAGGGAAUCUGAAUGAUGGAUUUUGAAGAAUGUAUAUAUUUGGAUAAAAUCUAUUGUUUGGUUAAGAAACGGUGAGGCAGAAUCCAUGAAUUUUUCAUAAUCUCUUAUUCAAUGAAACCCCCAAAUAAGGGUUUGGAAAAGAAGUAUGUUGAAUCCAUGGGAUAUAAAACUCAGGUUUCUGAUUCCAUGGAGUUUGGUAACUGCAAUCCAAUGUGGCCUAGAAAGCAAAACAUGUUUCUCCUUCCCGAGGGAGUAGUCAUUUAAAAGGUUGACCUCUAAUUGAAUUCCUCAACCUGGAAAAAGUGACUAAUUUGCAUUUGCUUGAAGAAUGAAUUUUAAUUUCCGCCCUUUAUUUUGCUAGAUAGCUUAUUUCAGCUUUGUCAUGGUGUUUGAGUAGCGUGAUUUAUAAUCAUGGAGGAAGAUGAGGACAAAGUUCUUCUCAGUACUUUGGGAAUAACGUCUGCAAAUCCUGAAGACAUUGAGCGUGACAUUUUAGCAGAGGUGAGAGACAAUGCUGAAAAUGAUGGUGAAGCUGGAGGGAGCACUGUGGUGCUUCCUGACAAGUCAAAAAACAUUGAUCCAUCAUCUACCAACCAAACAAAACUCUAUAAUAGAUUGAGGGCUGUAAAAUUUGAAAUAGAUGCUGUUGCUUCUACUUUUGAACAAGUGAGAAAUGUUGCCAGUAGUGAAGACCAUGAUGAUGAUGAUAAAGCAGAGUGUGGGGAUAGAAAGGAUGAUGUGCUGGUUUCUCCCAAUGAUUUCACUCUUCAACGAGCCCUAGCUGCUGAUCGGCUAAAAAGUCUUAAGAGGACAAAGGUUCAAAUUGAGAAAGAACUUUCAAAUUUGCAUGAGGAUGACACUACCAAGGGAGUUGACUAUGAAAAUCUGUUGGCAGACAUGGUUAGGGAAGAAACUAGACGAAAUAGAAAUGUGAAAGAAGUUCAGAAACCAGGCAAAAAAAAGGAAAGGAGUCAGAGAAAGGUUUCAUUUAAUGAUGAUACAGACUUUGAUGCAAUGUUGGAUGCAGCUUCUACUGGAUUUGUUGAAACAGAAAGGGAUGAGCUGGUCAGGAAAGGUAUUUUAACCCCUUUUCAUAAGCUUAAGGGAUUUGAGCGCGGUCUUCAGCAGCCAGGGCCAUCAAGUGGGUGCAAAGUAUCUGAGGAAGAGGAAAGGAGUGAUGAUAUUGCUUCUGACAGUAUUGCUAGAGCUUCCCAGUCAAUGAGAGAGGCCAUGAAAGCUCGCCCGAUGACUAAAAUGCUUGAUUUGGAUUCUCUGCCAAAGCUUGAGGCUCCUACUCAUCCUUUUCAGAGGCUGAAAACACCUUUGCAAGUCCCUCCAUCCCCAGAAAGUGAUGCAGAGAAGGGGAAGGGCUCAAAAAGGAAAACAAAACGUCCUUUGCCAGGCCAGAAAUGGAGCAAACGAAUUUCACAUGAGGAAAACCACUUGGAAGAAAGUGGUAUGUUCAAUAAUUUCCUCGCUUAAGAUGGUGCAAGGUGUGGCUCAGUUACAUCCAGCUAUGAAGAGGAAAAGCUAGAGGAUGGUGAAGAUAAUGGUGAUUCUUCCUUUGUAACACUUGAAGGUGGGCUGAAAAUCCCCGAAGCUAUUUUUAAUGAACUUUUUGAAUACCAGAAAGUGGGAGUGCAGUGGCUAUGGGAACUGCAUUGCCAAAGGGCUGGUGGUAUUAUUGGGGAUGAGAUGGGUCUUGGUAAGACCAUCCAGGUCUUAUCUUUUCUGGGAGCAUUGCACUUCAGUAACAUGUACAAACCAAGCAUUGUUGUUUGCCCUGUCACACUCUUGCGACAAUGGAAAAGGGAAGCACAGAAGUGGUACCCACGCUUUCAUGUGGAGCUACUACAUGAUUCAGCACAAGAUUUGGCUCAUAGGAAGAAGCAGGCCAAAUCUUAUGAUAGUGAUAAUGAAAGUGAAGGUUCGCUUGACAGCAAUUAUGAGGGGAAUUUAUCAUCUAAAAAUUCCAAUAAAUGGGAUUCCUUAAUAAAUCGAGUUCUGAAAUCAGAGUCUGGGUUGCUUAUAACCACUUAUGAGCAACUAAGGCUGCUAGGAGAAAAAUUGCUUGACAUUGAGUGGGGCUAUGCAGUUCUGGAUGAAGGACAUCGAAUUCGCAAUCCAAAUGCUGAAAUUACUCUGGUUUGCAAACAGCUUCAAACGGUUCACCGUAUAAUAAUGACAGGAGCACCAAUUCAAAACAAGUUGAGUGAACUGUGGUCCCUGUUUGAUUUUGUUUUCCCUGGUAAACUGGGGGUACUGCCAGUUUUUGAGGCUGAAUUUGCUGUUCCUAUAUCUGUUGGUGGCUAUGCCAAUGCCUCACCACUGCAAGUAUCUACAGCCUACAGGUGUGCUGUGGUCCUGCGUGACUUGAUUAUGCCUUAUCUUCUUCGUCGCAUGAAGGUGGAUGUGGAUGCACAGCUUCCAAAAAAAACUGAACACGUCCUCUUUUGUAGCCUUACUGCAGAGCAACGUUCCGUGUAUAGAGCAUUUCUUGCAAGUACUGAGGUUGAACAAAUACUUGAUGGAAAUAGGAAUUCCUUAUAUGGAAUAGAUGUGAUGCGCAAAAUAUGUAACCACCCUGAUCUGCUUGAGAGAGAGCAUUCAUGUCAAAAUCCAGACUAUGGAAAUCCCGUACGAAGUGGAAAAAUGAAAGUCAUUGCCCAAGUGCUUAAGGUUUGGCAGGAGCAGGGACAUCGUGUUCUUCUUUUUUCUCAAACUCAACAAAUGCUUGACAUUCUCGAAAGUUUCUUAAUUUCUAGUGGUUAUUGCUACCGACGAAUGGAUGGCCUUACUCCGAUAAAGCAGAGAAUGGCCCUAAUAGAUGAAUUUAACAACUCAAAUGAUGUCUUCAUUUUCAUCUUAACUACAAAGGUUGGUGGAUUAGGGACUAAUCUAACCGGUGCAAAUAGAGUGAUCAUCUUUGACCCGGAUUGGAAUCCUUCAACUGACAUGCAGGCAAGGGAAAGGGCUUGGCGUAUUGGUCAGAAACGGGAUGUCACUGUUUAUAGAUUGAUUACACGUGGAACUAUUGAGGAGAAGGUGUACCACCGGCAGAUUUACAAACAUUUUCUUACAAAUAAGAUAUUGAAAAACCCACAGCAGAGAAGGUUCUUUAAAGCUCGAGAUAUGAAGGAUCUUUUCACUUUGAAUGAUGAUGGAGAGAGUGGGUCAACUGAAACAUUUAACAUUUUCAGUCAGUUAUCUGAAGAUGUAAAUGUUGUUGGUGCAAAGAAAGAAAAGCAGGACAAGCAGAAACACCAUAAAUGUAGGGCAUCACGUGCUGAUGAUGCUGCAAUGGACCAGGAAAGCAAACCUGAUACCGGAUGCUCCAGGAUGAAAGGGAAAGAAAAAGCAAAUCAUAGUGAUGAAGUGGAUGAAGAAACAAAUAUUUUGAGGAGUCUUUUUGAUGCUCAUGGCAUACAUAGUGCAAUGAACCAUGAUGCUAUUAUGAAUGCACAUGAUGAAGAGAAGAUGAGACUUGAGGAGCAGGCUUCCCAAGUUGCGCAAAAGGCAGCAGAAGCAUUGCGUCAAUCACGAAUGCUGCGUAGUCGUGAUAGCAUAUCUGUCCCAACAUGGACAGGGAAAUCGGGGACUGCUGGUGCACCAUCUUCUGUUAGCCAGAAAUUUGGAUUAACUGUGAAUUCCCAGCUGAUUAGGUCUUCUGAUCAAUCAUCCAGCAAUAAAACAAGCAGCUUGAAUGGAAUAGCUGCUGGAGCUUCUGCUGGAAAGGCAUUAUCCUCAGCUGAACUACUUGCAAAAAUUCGUGGAAAUCAAGAAAAGGCUGUUGGUGCUGGGCUGGCAUCAAGUUCUGCUAACAGAGCAAGGUCUGAAAAUGGAAUGUCAUCUCAAAAUUCAUCUAGCGUCCAGCCUGAAAUACUGAUUCGGCAGAUCUGUACAUUCAUACAACAAAGAGGUGGAAGCGCUGAUUCAUCAAGCAUAGUGCAGCACUUCAAGGAUAGGAUCCCUUCAAAGGAUCUGCCCUUGUUUAAGAAUCUUUUGAAGGAGAUAGCUAAAUUGGAGGAAGACCAAAAUGGAAAAUUGUGGGUUUUGAAGCCAGAGUAUGGACAGCAAUAACUCAUGGCUUACUGUUUAUUUGCUUUGACAGCACAGAUCUUGCUACCGUGUUGCGAGCUUCCUCCUUUUUUGCAUGGAAAACAUUUUGGUAAUCGUAGUACCUUUUGGUAGUGUUGAUUCAUGGUAGCGCCUUUUCUCAGAAAAAAGUAAUAAUAACUAAAUUAAUCCUUAGUGAGAUUUCAUGCCUGACGUUGACACCUAAGCAAUCUCCCUUUAACACUAGGAUAAGACAUUGGUCUUAUAUCACAACUACAUCAAAGGAUAUCGAUUCUGUGUAGAGAGAGAGAGAGAGUGAGAGAGUAUAAUUGCCCUCUGUGUUGUAAUGUAAAAAAUUAGAGAUUAUGCAGUAGUCAGAA